rnacentral:rRNA from 1 species
AUACGUAGGGUGCGAGCGUUGUCCGGAAUUACUGGGCGUAAAGAGCUCGUAGGUGGUUUGUCGCGUCGUCUGUGAAAUUCCGGGGCUUAACUCCGGGCGUGCAGGCGAUACGGGCAUAACUUGAGUACUGUAGGGGAGACUGGAAUUCCUGGUGUAGCGGUGAAAUGCGCAGAUAUCAGGAGGAACACCGGUGGCGAAGGCGGGUCUCUGGGCAGUAACUGACGCUGAGGAGCGAAAGCAUGGGUAGCGAACAGGAUUAGAUACCCUGGUAGUCCAUGCCGUAAACGGUGGGCGCUAGGUGUAGGGGUCUUCCACGACUUCUGUGCCGUAGCUAACGCAUUAAGCGCCCCGCCUGGGGAGUACGGCCGCAAGGCUAAAACUCAAAUGAAUUGGCGGGG